CUUUGUGACGUCACGCGGGGGCCGUUAGGGUCAGCACCGGCCGCCGGUCGUGGCGCACGGCCCUGCUGUCGGGGGCCGGGGCAGGAGCCGCGAGGGCCCAGCCAGCCGCCCCCUCCGGCCGGCGCGGCAGGAGAAAGAACAUGAGAUCGCUAGCUCUAAUCUAAGCCAAUCCUCUUGGACCUCUGGCAAUAUGUGUGAAUCAACGGGUGUUUGCUGAGGACAGACACAGAGAGAGAGGGCUGAUGCUGUGGUUUGGAAUGUGCUGCGAUCCCGACUCUCAGGCCUGCUGGACACUGCUCCUUUCCCCGGGCAUCAAACGUGGCCUGCACAUAAGGAUGGUGAGAUGAAGAAAAUUGGCUGUUUGCCCCAGCUGAAGAUGUGGAGAAACAUCUUGGUAAGGGGUGCAGGGGCAGGACCUGGAGCAAGCCUUUAGAAAUAACUCCCAUUUCUGACAGAGUUUUGCAUGCAACUGAGGCAAUGCAGAUAUGGCAGGCCACAUGCAAACAAGGCAAAUCAUUGCAAUAAUGCUGAGCUUAGAAUAGACCUCUGUAGCAAGUGCUAUUUCACUUCCAGAAAGUGGCUUUGAAGAUAGAAUCUAAACUUAAAAAAAAAAAAAGGAUUAAAAAAAGCAAGCAACCAUUAGAACAUCUGGUCAAUUUGAGCUAGGCUCUAGGAUUUUAUGUAAGAAAUUGCUGCAGAGCCAGAUUUGAAAACAGAACUCACGGUUACUGCCUGGCACAAACCCAAGGCUGAGUUCCCUGGCUGGACUUUGCCAUUUGGUUGAGCUCAUUCCCUGGAGCACAAGCAGAGGACCACGCUUCCAAGGCCGUGAUUAACUCACUGCUUCUUGCCAACACUUAACUGUCUGGUUUGCACCCAUGGCCAUGCCAGCAGCAAGUGCAAAUUAGCAGCAGUUACAAGAUGAGUCUGCCAUGGAUUCUUUUAGCCAGAAUGUGAGAUGGCAAAAUGAACACAGAAGGAGGUUAAAAACAUGCACAAGUGAAGGCUGUGGUUGUUCAUACAAGAAUUCUGUUCUAAGCUUCUGAAAUACGGUUUCCAGGGCUCUGCCCAGAGAAAAUCCCUGAACUUAGGCAAUGCAGGGUCUAGGUUUCAGUUCCUUACUUAAGAUCAUUAACUAGAAAAUAUAGUUUCAUGCCCUUUCCCCUUUUGAUAACACAUUGAGCUCUGCUGAAUGUGGCUUUGCACAGAGGUGAGGUCCCCCUGUAGCCUCCAGUUUCAUCUUGAGACCUCGAGCACUGAGACAGGAAUUUACCUUUGAGAAAGAAUGGGAAAUUUAGAGCGAGGAAUUUUACUCAUUGCAUCUUACGCAGAGAUUUAGUGACACGUUCUUGGUUGCUCACCUGUAUUCAUCACACUGCUGCUCUGUGCCCAUCGCAUUGCUGAAGUUGACUAAAUUAAGAUCGGUGAAAAAUGAUCUUACACCUGAUGAGAGUGAGGCCCCAGCGUGCCUUGCAGGCAGACGGAUCCCUAUGACUGCAUGAUACAGCAGCAGUUCUCUGAUCACACUUGUCCCUCUGGAAACCGGCACAAUGGUGAGAUUUUCUGAGCUUUCAGUUCACCUAGGGAGAAAUAUUUAAAAUGUGCCCUAAAGGUAAGUCUGUAAUAAUUCUCAUAAAAAUAUGUUAUUUUUCCAGUCAACUGAAUACUUCCUUGAUGAUACCUUUUUUUUUUAAUGCUAAUGCUUCCUCCUGCUUUUAGUUGCAACCACAAAGUACUUACAAUCCAGUCCAAGGUAAUUACAUGGAUCAUUGCCAUCCGAGGUAUUUGCUUCAUCUCCCAGGAAAUCAUCAUGUGUCAUGAUCUGCCAUUUGCCCUGAUGGUUUUGUUUAUGUUAUCAUCCAGGUCUCAGAAAGUCCAUAUUAUCUUUCCCCAGUGGCAUCUAAAGAUUGAUUAGUAGUCGUCAGAAAAGACUCUACAUGGCAAUUAGCACUAGAGUCGGUCAGUGACUUUAACACUUGCAUUUGUCAGGAAGGAUUUUCUAAACUUCCUGGAUGACCUAAAUAGCCAUCUAGCUCUGGGGACACUGAAGUAUUCCCUGAUGGUCUAGGAAGAGCUGAGAGGUCAGGUAGAUAAUACUGCUUUUCUGUGCAAUUGGAUGUGCAGAAAAAAAUGCAUUCCCUGUUCCCUAAUACUACGUACAACUGCGGAGAGGUUUGUGCAAUGCUCAAGCUUGCCAGAGGGCUAUUGAUGCAAACUCAUGGCAAAGAAAGUCCAAUUUGGUAGAAGCCUAGAUGAAGAGCUCUACCUAAAGUGGCUUGUCUUUACUUGUGUUGACGAAGAUGGAUGGUUUGUUCCUGCUGUGCCUUUGGCAGUGCUCUUCCUCCCCAAAUAGCAAACAAGUGUGAGUAUUUACAAAUGUCUAGCCUGUCUAAUGCUAAUGAAGUUGAAGUCCAGCCAAAGGUUCACUGAAUUUGAAGGAAAGCUUGUCAUUGGCUUUACUGGGCUUCUGUUGUGUCCUUGGACUUCAACUGAGACAAACAUGUGCAAAAAUUUGUAUUAUGCAUACACUUGCUUCCGCUGACCUUGCAAGAGCAGGACCUGCUAAAAGAGCUGAUUAAACAGUAAAAAAGUAUUUAGCAGCUAUUUUUGCAAAUAAAAAAGUUUUUCAGAUUAGUACGAAUAAUGGGAAAAAAAUUACUAGCUCUAGCCAAGUAUUCAAGCACCUGCUUAAGUACCUGCCCUAUUCCUCAUAAAUCUGCAUGUUGCGUUAAUUUUACCACAAAAAACUACAUAUGAAAGUUGAUAGCAGAAGCUGCAUUAUUGGUUAUUACUCACUGCAUGUCAUGUCCAAGUCAGAGUUUCAGUUGCCAAGGAAGUAGACGUAAUGCACUGAGAUCUUCAGAGUAGAGAACAAUGCAGUAAUAACUGGGCCCACAAGUUACCUCUGCUUGAACCAGGUAGCCCAGCAACAAGCAUCAUCCAUCAGUCAAGAAUUAAACCAGUCAAAAAUGAAAGUUAAUUAGCCAAAAGUUUUCGUAAAUAUGUUUUCUUACCCAGAAGGAGCCUACAUUGAAAAAAUAAGACUAUCUGGAGCUAGCUAAUUCUAGGUAUCUCCGUGGCCUUUCUUCUUCCUUUAUAUCAUAAAACUCUGGCAUGAGUUCAUUUUGUAGCAUACAAAGGAUUUUUUUUUUUCCAACAAAGCUUCAUCCUUUCAUGGCAGCUGAGCCUCAGAAAUGCACUUUGCCUUCAAAAUAAUAUGUCAGAUAGAGGCGCUGUUGCCUCUUGUAUAGUAACUUCUCAACAUUGCUGCUCUGGCUGAAAGCAAGAUUAAAUGGAAAGGCAGUAUAACAAUAUGUGGCGUUACGCUAUCAGUCUGUGGAGCUUUUUAAAACGGUAAAGAUUAAUAUUUAACUUUCAGCUAACUUUUAAGGUAAAUAUAUAAAUAAAACUAACUUCUAAUACCUGAUAUGGAUUAUACUGUAUGUAGCCUUAAUUAGGCCAAAGUCUUCCACAGUGUUCUGAAACACCUAUUAAGCAGGCUCCCAGGGCUUCGGCUUCUAUGCCUGACACACCAGCUUUAUAGCUACCAGGAUUCCUCUCGCUUCACGCAAAUUACACGAGGGAAGAAUAAGACGAAGACAGGGCCCGAGGGCUGUCACUGUACCAUUGCUGCGUCCAACUGUAUUUUGGACUAUGAAUACUAGAAGCAUUGCUUACCAGGAAAUGGACUUCAUCUCUAUCAGCACAGCAAGAGGUACGCUGUCGUGGUUUAACCCGGCAGGCAGCUGAGAUAACCCCACAGCCGUUCACUCACUGCCCCCCACCAGUGGGAUGGGGGAGAGAAUUGAAAAGACAAAGAAGGUAAAACUCAUGGGUUGAGAUGAAGACAGCUUAAUAGGACAGAAAAGGAAGAGAAUACUACUACUACUAUUACUACUGAUAAAAUAAGGUACAAAACAAAUGAUCGACAGAAUUUCUCACCACCCGGAACCAAUGCUCAGCGAGUUCCUAAGCCAAACCACCACCCGGCCAACUGCCCCAGUUAUAUACUGAGCAUGAUGUCAUAUGGUAUGGACAAUCUCGCUAGGAUGAUGAGCAGCAUAGUGAGGAGCAAUCUCUUUUCUUCAGAUGAAGUCAAGAGUCAUAGCAGGGAGCUUCUGCUCUGCACUGUUUCUUGUACCUGCAGGAAACUGCAGGAGAUUGAUUCUUGCAGUGAGUGCCUGUGAACCAGCUUGUGCCACGAUUAGGACCAGAUCACUUCCUCCUGGGUUACUCACCGACAGUAAAGGCAAAAAUGUGAAAUUCCCUAUGAUAAAGUAUUUUGUCAUUGUUCCAGGAGGAUUUAUCUCUGCAGCUGUUCUAUGAUACAGUAUGGAUUAAAUGACCUAUUGAUAUUUAUGUUUAGGAAGAAGCUUGAUGGUCGUCUAUAUUUAAGCCUGAUUUCCUCUAAGCAUUGUGUCACUUUCACACCAUUUAAGUGCUGUAGUCACACGGAAUGGCCUGGUCAACUGGCUGCAGAGGGGACAGUUAACCAGGCUAAUCAUUAAAUAAAUUACUUUGGUUACUCACCGCUAUUUUCCCAGUAAAUUCAAUUCCCUAGUACAUGUACAGCUGCACAAAGUUGGAGACCGAAGUGGUUGUGCCCAAAGCGCAGAAGACGCGUCCAGGAUCCCAGUGCUGUCUCUGAGCACCCCCCUGUGACGAGCCUGUGACAGACAGGAACCUAAAGCCCAAAACAGGGUCUUUAUCAAGGUCACACAAGAAGUCCGAAAAUCAAGGAUCUGCUCCACAUUUUUCAAAGAUGAUGCAACUUCCCCUCCAGUCUAUCCUUGAGUUAAAUUAUGGUCUAUGCAUAUAAAACUUGUAUAAUUUCAGAGGUGACUUCUAUAUGUCAUUUGUGUGCUCACAACUAUAGAUAUUAUUAAAAUUCCUGAUACCUAUAUUACAGAUAAAUUUAUCUCAUGACAUUCAACAGUGCGCGCCAUUAUUAUGAUCCUGUAAGGCUUAAGCUGUGCCAUAUACCUAUGUACAAAUUUACCUUCACUUUUAAGAGAUAGGUAUACCCAUCAGUGUGAUGGUGAUGUUUUGCAAGCACUCUAUAACCAGUCACUAUUCCCAUAAAUG